rnacentral:lncRNA from 1 species
AUUACAAGUGGACACCUGAGUCAGCAGGACCUGGAAUCCCAGAUGAGAGAGCUUAUCUACACGACUCAGAUCUUGUUGUCACCCCCAUUAUUGACAAUCCAAAGAUAAUGAAACAACCACCAUCGGUUAAAUUUGAUGCAAAAAUAUUGCAUCUACCAGCAUUUUCAGUUAUAAUUUCUGAAAGACCAAGAUUGGAAUGACUUUUUGUAACAAGUGUGCUCGCAGAUCGACUCCAGUGAGAAGAGCUCGGGGACCUCCUGAGCCAAGCUUAAUCUCCUUUGCUGUUUGUGAGUGGUGGCUGGUCACCAGGAGGUGGCCACCAGGCUCCUCCUUUCCCCGCUGUUCCAAUUGCUAAUCCAGCAUUUGUGGAUAGCUGCAAACUGCGAUAU